rnacentral:rRNA from 1 species
UACGUAGGAGGCAAGCGUUGUCCGGAAUCACUGGGCGUAAAGAGCUCGUAGGCGGUUUGUCGCGUCUGCCGUGAAAGUCCGGGGCUCAACUCCGGAUCUGCGGUGGGUACGGGCAGACUAGAGUGAUGUAGGGGAGACUGGAAUUCCUGGUGUAGCGGUGAAAUGCGCAGAUAUCAGGAGGAACACCGAUGGCGAAGGCAGGUCUCUGGGCAUUAACUGACGCUGAGGAGCGAAAGCAUGGGGAGCGAACAGG